rnacentral:sRNA from 1 species
GCGGCGGCGCUUUUCGGAUUCCGAGGGGGAGGAGACCGUCCCGGAGCCCCGGCUCCCUCUGUUGGACCAUCAGGGCGCGCAUUGGAAGAACGCGGUGGGCUUCUGGCUGCUGGGCCUUUGCAACAACUUCUCUUAUGUGGUGAUGCUGAGUGCUGCCCACGACAUCCUUAGCCACAAGAGGACAUCGGGAAACCAGAGCCAUGUGGACCCAGGCCCAACGCCGAUGCCCCACAACAGCUCAUCACGAUUUGACUGCAACUCUGUCUCUACGGCUGCUGUGCUCCUGGCGGACAUCCUCCCCACACUCGUCAUCAAAUUGUUGGCUCCUCUUGGCCUUCACCUGCUGCCCUACAGCCCCCGGGUUCUCGUCAGUGGGAUUUGUGCUGCUGGAAGCUUCGUCCUGGUUGCCUUUUCUCAUUCUGUGGGGACCAGCCUGUGUGGUGUGGUCUUCGCUAGCAUCUCAUCAGGCCUUGGGGAGGUCACCUUCCUCUCCCUCACUGCCUUCUACCCCAGGGCCGUGAUCUCCUGGUGGUCCUCAGGGACUGGGGGAGCUGGGCUGCUGGGGGCCCUGUCCUACCUGGGCCUCACCCAGGCCGGCCUCUCCCCUCAGCAGACCCUGCUGUCCAUGCUGGGUAUCCCUGCCCUGCUGCUGGCCAGCUAUUUCUUGUUGCUCACAUCUCCUGAGGCCCAGGACCCUGGAGGGGAAGAAGAGGCAGAGAGCGCAGCCCGGCAGCCCCUCAUAAGAACCGAGGCCCCGGAGUCGAAGCCAGGCUCCAGCUCCAGCCUCUCCCUUCGGGAAAGGUGGACAGUGUUCAAGGUUCGGAUGAUGGCUGGGGUAUGUCCCUGUGGGGCUUGCUCACCUCCAGGCCCCCCGCUUAUAUCUUCUGCCUUUUCCAGGGUCUGCUGUGGUACAUUGUUCCCUUGGUCGUAGUUUACUUUGCCGAGUAUUUCAUUAACCAGGGACUUUUUGAACUCCUCUUUUUCCGGAACACUUCCCUGAGUCACGCUCAGCAAUACCGCUGGUACCAGAUGCUGUACCAGGCUGGCGUCUUUGCCUCCCGCUCUUCUCUCCGCUGCUGUCGCAUCCGUUUCACCUGGGCCCUGGCCCUGCUGCAGAUGGAGUCUCGCUCUGUUGCCCAGGCUGGAAUGUAGCGGUGCAAUCUUGGCUCACUGCAACCCCUGCCUCCCAGAUUCAAGCGAUUCUCAAGCCUCAGCCUUCCGAGUAGCUGGGAUUACAG